UACGGAGGGUCCAAGCGUUAUCCGGAAUCAUUGGGUUUAAAGGGUUCGUAGGCUGUUCAAUCAGUCAGAGGUGAAAUCCCAUCGCUUAACGAUGGCACUGCCUUUGAUACUGUUGGGCUUGAGUUAUAUGGAAGUAGAUAGAAUAUGUAGUGUAGCGGUGAAAUGCAUAGAUAUUACAUAGAAUACCGAUUGCGAAGGCAGUCUACUACGUAUAUACUGACGCUGAUGAACGAAAGCGUGGGGAGCGAACGGG
rnacentral:rRNA from 1 species